GAUGAACGCUGGCGGCGUGCUUAACACAUGCAAGUCGAGCGAGUGAGUUCUUCGGAACGAUCUAGCGGCGGACGGGUGAGUAACACGUGGGCAACCUGCCUCAUAGAGGGGAAUAGCCUCCCGAAAGGGAGAAUAAUACCGCAUAAAAUUAUCGAGUGGCAUCACAUGAUAAUCAAAGGAGUAAUCCGCUAUGAGAUGGGCCCGCGGCGCAUUAGCUAGUUGGUGAGGUACGGCUCACCAAGGCGACGAUGCGUAGCCGACCUGAGAGGGUGAUCGGCCACAUUGGGACUGAGACACGGCCCAGACUCCUACGGGAGGCAGCAGUGGGGAAUAUUGCACAAUGGGGGAAACCCUGAUGCAGCAACGCCGCGUGAGUGAUGAAGGUCUUCGGAUUGUAAAGCUCUGUCUUUGGGGACGAUAAUGACGGUACCCAAGGAGGAAGCCACGGCUAACUACGUGCCAGCCGCCGCGGUAA
rnacentral:rRNA from 1 species